CUAGUGCUUCAAUCUAUUCCACUGCAACUUCAAGGAGAUAAGAUUUGCCAUCUUCAGUCUGGCUCACUGCAACUUCAGGAGGAUAAGACUUGCCUAUUUAGUCCGCUCCACUGCAACUGCAGGGAGAUAAGACUAGAUGUGAUCUGUUUUCUGCAACUUCAGAGAGAUAAGAUCUAAGGUUUUAAUCCGCUCCACUGCAACUUCAGGAAGAUAGGAUUAUCGGCUUUAAUCUGCUCCACUGCAACUUCAGGAAGAUAAGACUUACCAUCUUCAGUCCGC
rnacentral:lncRNA from 1 species